rnacentral:ncRNA from 1 species
CUACGAUAAUAGCAAACUAUUUGAAAAUUUAGGACGCAAAGCCACGGGUCUAAGGUCUAAGGACUAGGAUAGCCGGGUUACCGAA